UGCGGGGUGGAGCAGUCUGGUAGCUCGUCGGGCUCAUAACCCGAAGGUCGUUGGUUCAAAUCCGCCCCCCGCAUCCA
rnacentral:tRNA from 1 species